GCCUGGGUGGCUCAGUCGGUUGAGCAUCCGACUUCAGCUCAGUUCAUGAUCUCACAGUCUGUGGGUUCAAGCCCCGCGUCGGGCU
rnacentral:tRNA from 1 species